GCCAUAUUUUUCAGUAUUCUUCACAGGCACUAACUUGGGGUUUAGGGUUUUAGCGUUUUGGGUGCUUGGAAAGAGGAUUCUUUGAACUAUUUGUUGUUCCAAUAGGGUCGGAAGCGUGUAAAUUAUUGUACUAAAAAAUCACACAAAGUUCAAUUCCCAGGGAAGAGAGGUGGAUCUCAAGGAUCUCUUAAAUACCAAGUCUUUCCUUAGACAGAAUAUCCCUUCUAUAGUAAUUUAAUAGCACAAUUAAAUACUACUAUUAUACCCUCAAAUAUUGAAAGAAAAAUAGGACAAGAAAGAACACAAGAGUUUUAACGAGGUUCGGUAAAUUAUACCUACGUCCUCGGGCACUAACACCAGAUGAUAACUUUACUAUCUUCAAAGUAUUACAAACAAAUAGAAUUCCUUAAGAAUUCUCAAAUGGGAGAAGAGAGAAAACUAAGAGAGAAAGAUUGGUUGGGAUGAAUUGAAAUGAGAAAUGAGAAGGCCUAUUUAUAGUUGAGGUUUAAGGACCAAACAAUAAAUAGCCCAUUAUCUCAAGGACCAAAAAAAAUUAUCCCAUGCCACUUUUUCAAAGUCAACUUUAGGGUGCUAAACUUGCACCACUUUGUAUUGUUUGCCAUUAAUGUUGUCUCCCAUUAAUGUUAACAAUCUCCACCUUGAAGAUUUGAUUAGGAUAAUCACAUCUUCACACACUUCCUUCAACUUCCCAAAUUCGAUAAAGCUAUCUUUUGUAGUGCCUACAAAUGCACUCUCGGGCGCCAUACACCUGAAGGUGCUUAAAUUCUCAGGAUGUUAAUCAAGUUCAAACAAUGAUUAAACUUGAUUGUUGUUACCACCUUGGUCAUCAUAUCUGCGGGAUUAUCUGCUGUCGGAAUCUUCUGAAGUAGAAUUUUUCCUUUUUCAAAGACUUUCCGCACAAAGUGAUAUCUUACGUCGAUAUGCUUGGUUCUUGAAUGAUAGACUUGAUUUUUCGCUAAAUGAAUAGCGCUCUGACUGUCACAAUAUAAACUUAUGUGACUUUGAACAACUCCUAAGUCUUUCAACAAUCCAUUAAGCCAAAUAGCCUCCUUAACAGCUUCUGUAACUGCCAUAUAUUUUGCCUCUGUAGUAGACACAGCUACUGUAGACUGUAAGGUAGACUUCCAACUUAUUGGGGCUUUCGCAAGAGUAAACAGAUACCCCGUAGUUGAACGACGUUUAUCUAAAUCACCAGCAAAGUCGGAAUCAACAUAUCCAACUACAAACUGACCAAGUGCUUCAUCCUGUUCAAAAAUUAAACCAAUAUCUACGGUUUUUCGAAGAUACCGUAGAAUCCAUUUCACAGCUUGCCAAUGUCCUUUUCCAGGAUCAUGCAUAUACCUGCUCACAACUCCAACAGCUUGUGAAAUGUCAGGCCUCGUACACACCAUCGCAUACAUCAAACUCCCAACUGCAUUAGCAUAUGGAACUUUCGCCAUAUAUUCUCUUUCAUCUUCAGUCUUCGGAGAUAAUUGAGCACUAAGUUUCAAAUGAGAAGCAAGUGGGGUACUUACAUGUUUUGUGUUUUCAUUUACACCAAAACAUUGUAAUACCUUUUUCAGAUAUUACUUCUGAUUUAAACAGAGCUUGCCUCUCGGUCUAUCUCUACUUAUCUCCAUGCCGAGAAUCUUCUUGGCCUCACCUAGAUCUUUCAUCUCGAACUCUUGAUUCAACUGAGCCUUCAGCUUAUCUAUCUCAUUUUGGCUCUUCGAAGCGAUUAACAUAUCAUCAACAUACAAGAGUAGAUAAAUGAAAGAUCCGUCAUGCAGCUUCUGCAAAUAUACACAAUUGUCAUAUUUGCUUCUUGUGUACUUCUGCCUUCUCAUAAAGCUAUCAAAUCGCUUGUACCACUGCCUCGGGGAUUGCUUCAAUCCAUAUAGCGAUUUGUUAAGCUUACAAACCCAAUUUCUACCACCAGCAUCUGUGUAUCCUUCUGGCUGAGUCAUAUAGAUCUCCUCUUCUAACUCACCAUGCAAGAAAGCCGUCUUAACAUCAAGUUGAGCUAGCUCCAAAUUCAACUGUGCUACCAAGGCCAACAAAAUUCUAAUGGAGGAAUGCUUCACAACAGGGGAAAAUACAUCAUUGUAGUCAAUUCCCUCCUUCUGAGCGUAGCCUUUAGCUACCAAUCUUGCCUUGUAGCGAAUAUCCUUCUUGCUAGGAGAUCCAUCUUUCUUUGCGAAUACCCACUUGCAUCCGAUUGCCCUUUUACCUUUCGGUAAUUGCGCCAACUCCCAAGUAUUAUUCUUCCGGAGAGACUACAUUUCUUCAUCCAUGGCGCUUUUCCAUUUAUCACUUUCUAAGCUUUGCAUUGCUUCUUGAUAAGUGAUAGGAAUAUCAUCAACAACGGGAAGGGCGUAGGCCACCAUAUCAGUAAAUCGAGCAGGUUUACGAAUUUCUCUCCGUGGCCUUGCAACUGCAACUGGUUUUGGUGUACUUAGUGGUUCUUGGGUCAGAACCUCUUCAACCUCUAAUUCCUCCAUUGUGGCUGGAGAAUUAGACUUAUUAACUGGGCAAAUCCCCAUCUGCUCAAACUCCACCUGUUUUGGAGUACACUCCACCUGCUGUGGAGUAUUGCUCGUCUGAAUAUCUUUAUCUGCUACCUUUUUCAAUGUGGCAGAUUCAUCAAAGGUAACAUCUCUGCUACAGAUCAUUUUCUUUGUGCUUAAGCACCAAAGACGAAAUCCCUUCACUCCAGAAGUGAUUCCCAUAUAGAGAGCUUUCUUUGCCCUCGGAUCUAACUUUGACUCCUUCACAUGGUAAUAUGCAGUGGUUCCAAACACAUGUAAGGAAUCAUAAUCUGUAGCCGAUUUUCCAGACCAUACCUCCAUAGGAGUUUUUCUUUCUAAUGCAGAUGAUGGCAAACGAUUAACAAGAUGGCCAGCGUAUGUCACAGCCUCAGCCCAAAAUUGCUUGCCCAACCCAGCAUUGGACAACAUACAUCGAACUUUCUCCAGCAAUGUUCGAUUCAUACGCUCUGCCAAUCCAUUCUGCUGUGGUGUAUCCCUAACUGUGAAGUGUCGAACAAUACCAUACUCUUGGCACACAUCGAAGAACGGAUCACUUUUAUAUUCCCCUCCAUUGUCCGUCCUAAGCCGCUUGAUUUUCUUGCCAGUCUGGUUUUCGAUCAUAGUUUUCCAUUUAAGAAAAACUCCAAGCACUUCAUCUUUAGUUUUCAUGGUAUACACCCAAACUCUUCUGGAAAAGUCAUCAACAAAAGUAACAAAGUAGUGUUUUCCUCCCAACGAAGGUGUUUUGGAAGGCCCCCACACAUCUGAGUGAAUAUAUUCCAAAAUACCUUUUGUAUUAUGGAUAGCAGUGCCGAAUUUCACUCUCUUUUGCUUUCCCAGAACACAGUGCUCACAAAAUUUUAAUUUGCAAGCUUUUGCACCUUUCAACAAUCCUUGCUUUGCCAGAAUUUGCAAGGAUUUUUCGCUGGCAUGUCCCAACUUCAUAUGCCACAACUGCAUUGAGUCCAAGUCUUUGUUACCGGAAGCUGCAGCGGCUGCUCCAAUAACUGUACUACCUUGGUAGUAAUACAAGUUAUUUUUUCUGAUGCCCUUCAAUAUCACAAGUGCGCCAGAUGUCACUUUCAAAACCCCAUCUCUCAUAGUAACAACUGAACCAUUGGAUUCCAAGGCUCCCAAUGAGAUGAGAUUUUUCUUCAAACUGGGCACGUACCGAACAUCAGUUAGAACUCUGGUUGAUCCAUCUUUAUUCUUUAAUUGGAUUGAACCUAUCCCAACAGUUUUACAGGCAUUGUCAUUGCCCAUAUAAACAACUCCUCCAUUUAGUUCUACUAAAUCAGAGAACCACUCCCGGUUAGGGGACAUAUGAUAGGUACAACCCGAAUCUAAUAUCCACUCAUCUGAAUGGAACGACGAUGAUGAUGCAACCAGUGAUAGUUCAGAGUCACUAGUAUCAUGCUUAGCAACACAAUCAUCUACAGCAGCUUUUCCCUUAUUCUUCAGCUUUGGACAAUUUUUCUUCCAGUGGCCUUUCUCAUGACAAAAAGCACAUUCAUCUUUCCCGAGUCUGGACUUUGACUUUGAUCUCCCCUUUUGAGUUUUCUUCCGAGUGUAUGAACGACCUCGGACUACUAAAGCUUCUGUAUCUCUGAUUGAGUUUUUCUGUUUGUCCUUCUUUCUCUGUUCAUAACUGUAUAAGGCCGCACAGACUUCGCUCAGAGAUAUAUCACUCCUGCCAUGAAGUAGAGUAGUUUCUAGGAACUCAAACUCCUCAGGAAGUGACCCCAACAGCAUCAAAGCCAAAUCUUCAUCUUUGAAUGUCUCAUCCAUAUUCAGCAAAUCAGUGACUAACUGAUUAAAUUUGGUGAUGUGAUCAUUCAUUGUGGUACUUGGGACGUAUGUGAAGCGAAACAGUCUUUUCUUCAAGUGGAGCUUAUUUUGACUGUUUUUCUUCAAAAAAUUUUCUUCAAGUGCCACCCACAACUUAUUUGCAGAAGUCUCCUUUGAAAAAGCAUACCUCUGUUCUCGAGAAAGGCAUGAUCGAAUUGUGCCACAUGCCAACCGAUUGAUCGCCUUCCAAUCUUUCUCCUGUACAUCAUCUGGUUUCUCUUCAUCAAUGGCAAUGUCUAGACCCUGCUGAAAAAGGGCAUCUAGAACCUCACUUUGCCACAUACCAAAAUGGCCCGUGCCAUCAAAGAUCUCCACGGCCAAUCUUGCAUUUGCAAUUGUCGGUCUUGUCCACAUGGACGAUGUUGAAGCUCCUACACCGACCGUUUUCUCCAUAAUCUUUCAAUAUACCUAAGGAAAUCUUUUCUGAUGUGGAAGAUCAGUUCAAACUGCAACCACAGAGCAUACUACGAUUAACCUUCGGCUCUGAUACCACUUGUUGUUCCAAUAGGGUCGGAAGCGUGUAAAUUAUUGUACUAAAAAAUCACACAAAGUUCAAUUCCCAGGGAAGAGAGGUGGAUCACAAGGAUCUCUUAAAUACCAAGUCUUUCCUUAGACAGAAUAUCCCUUCUAUAGUAAUUUAAUAGCACAAUUAAAUACUACUAUUAUACCCUCAAAUAUUGAAAGAAAAAUAGGACAAGAAAGAACACAAGAGUUUUAACGAGGUUCGGUAAAUUAUACCUACGUCCUCGGGCACUAACACCAGAUGAUAACUUUACUAUCUUCAAAGUAUUACAAACAAAUAGAAUUCCUUAAGAAUUCUCAAAUGGGAGAAGAGAGAAAACUAAGAGAGAAAGAUUGGUUGGGAUGAAUUGAAAUGAGAAAUGAGAAGGCCUAUUUAUAGUUGAGGUUUAAGGACCAAACAAUAAAUAGCCCAUUAUCUCAAGGACCAAAAAAAAUUAUCCCAUGCCACUUUUUCAAAGUCAACUUUAGGGUGCUAAACUUGCACCACUUUGUAUUGUUUGCCAUUAAUGUUGUCUCUCAUUAAUGUUAACACUAUUGAAGCACUCGACUUGGCGGUACCGGAAAAAACAAACCGGCCAUCAACACUUAAAAAAAAUAUUGCUAAGGAAACGACAUGUAAUAGCGGGGAAUGUCGAUUGAUGAAUGAAUCAUUUUCAUUCUUCUUUGCCCACAAAAUUCAAAGUCCCCUUCUUUUCAAUAAGAAACUUGAGAACCUCAUAGUCACUUAGAUUUAGUAACAUCAUUCAAUCAGUUCGUUUAAUACGAAAAGGGAUGACGUUAUCUUGACAUCAAGUUUUGCAAGAAGUAAAAAUAAAA
rnacentral:lncRNA from 1 species